UUUCCCCGUGUUAGUUCUCGCCGUAAAGAAUGUCUUUUUGGGGGUUGUGGCCUUGAGCCGUGGCUUUUGGAGCUAACGCGUUAAGUAGACCGCCUGGGGAGUACGGUCGCAAGAUUAAAACUCAAAUGAAUUGACGGGGGCCCGCACAAGCGGUGGAGCAUGUGGUUUAAUUCGAUGCAACGCGAAGAACCUUACCUACUCUUGACAUCUACAGAAGCCAGCGGAGACGCAGGUGUGCCUUCGGGAACUGUAAGACAGGUGCUGCAUGGCUGUCGUCAGCUCGUGUUGUGAAAUGUUGGGUUAAGUCCCGCAACGAGCGCAACCCUUAUCCUUGUUUGCCAGCACUUCGGGUGGGAACUCCAGGGAGACUGCCGGUGAUAAACCGGAGGAAGGUGGGGACGACGUCAAGUCAUCAUGGCCCUUACGAGUAGGGCUACACACGUGCUACAAUGGCGCAUACAGAGGGCGGCCAACUUGCGAAAGUGAGCGAAUCCCAAAAAGUGCGUCGUAGUCCGGAUUGGAGUCUGCAACUCGACUCCAUGAAGUCGGAAUCGCUAGUAAUCGUGGAUCAGAAUGCCACGGUGAAUACGUUCCCGGGCCUCGUACACACCGCCCGUCACACCAUGGGAGUGGGCUGCAAAAGAAGUGGGUAGUUUAACCUUCGGGAGGACGCUCACCACUUUGUGGUUCAUGACUGGGGGGAAGUCGUAACAAGGUAACCG
rnacentral:rRNA from 1 species